GUCGCUGUAGUAUAGUGGUGAGUAUCCCCGCUGUCACGCGGGAGACUCGGGUUCGAUCCCCGCAACGGUG
rnacentral:tRNA from 1 species